rnacentral:rRNA from 1 species
CUACGGGGUGCUGCAGUGGGGAAUAUUGCACAAUGGGGGAAACCCUGAUGCAGCGACGCCGCGUGAGUGAAGAAGUAUUUCGGUAUGUAAAGCUCUAUCAGCAGGGAAGAAAACAAUGACGGUACCUGACUAAGAAGCCCCGGCUAACUACGUGCCAGCAGCCGCGGUAAUACGUAGGGGGCAAGCGUUAUCCGGAUUUACUGGGUGUAAAGGGAGCGUAGACGGUAGAUCAAGUCUGAAGUGAAAGCCCGGGGCUCAACCCCGGGACUGCUUUGGAAACUGGUAAACUAGAGUGCAGGAGAGGUAAGUGGAAUUCCUAGUGUAGCGGUGAAAUGCGUAGAUAUUAGGAGGAACACCAGUGGCGAAGGCGGCUUACUGGACUGUAACUGACGUUGAGGCUCGAAAGCGUGGGGAGCAAACAGGAUUAGAUACCCCAGUAGUC